AUCAUCUCGAAACAUCACAAGAAGAAGGAAAAGAAUUUUCAAUGUGGCAGUCUGGAGCUGAGAUAUGAAGGAGAGGUCUACUGGGGAUUCACGGUAUGAUGCAUUUAAAGAGACUGUACCUUAAAAGCCCAUUUUCUAGAUGAAGAAAAUGUGGCUCCAAGAAGAGCCAUGAUCCAGCACCCGAGAGACCGCAGUUUGAUUCACAGACCUGUCAUCAGCUGCACUUGGGAAACACACUGGCUACUUCCCUGCUGACCUAUUUUACCGCCACGCUGAGAACAAAGGCAAAAGGAGCAAUCCCAGGGCCCAUGGCCCGGACCACUGUGCCUGAGAAACAGCAAGUCUCCUCAGA